GAUGAACGCUAGCGGCAGGCCUAAUACAUGCAAGCCGAACGGCAAGUUUGAUAGCAAUAUUGGACCUAGAGUGGCGCAAGGGUGCGUAACACGUAUGCAACCUGCCCGCGACAGGAGGAUAGCUCCCCGAAAGGGGAAUUAACCCUCCAUAACACCAUGAGAAGGCAUCUGAUUAUGGUUAAACCGCACGGGGUCGCGGAUGGGCAUGCGGUUGAUUAGCUAGUUGGCGGGGUAAAGGCCCACCAAGGCGGUGAUCAAUAGGGGUUCUGAGAGGAAGGUCCCACACACUGGCACUGAGAUACGGGCCAGACUCCUACGGGAGGCAGCAGUAGGGAAUAUUGGACAAUGGUUGCAAGACUGAUCCAGCCAUGCCGCGUGCAGGAAGAAGGACUUCUGGGUCGUAAACUGCUUUUUCCUGUGGAUAAAAUACCCGUGCGCGGGGAAUUGAAGGUAACAGGGGAAUAAGCCACGGCUAACUACGUG
rnacentral:rRNA from 1 species